UUUAACUCCUUGUCACAAGCACCAAAAAACCCUUUCAUAUUAUUUCUGCCUUUCAUGAUGUCUGGAGCUAGUGACAUCACAAACUUAUCCAAAGGUCCACGGUUCUUCCUCUUCCAAGCCUUUUGUGAUGGCUGAUCACCAUCCCAGUCCUCCACGUCAUCUUCAUGCCCAGCAGGUUGGUACUUCAUUGAUAGAGCUGCUCUUUCUUCAGAUUCUCUGGCCAUGUAGUUCUGCAGCUCAACUCUGACAUAUUCUAGACAGAUUGCUCACUUCUUUGCAUUCGUAUACCCUCCAACAAGAUUUUGUUUCAAGCAUAAAACUCCGGCAGUUAACAUCUUAUAGCAUAAGAUAUACUUACAAUGGUUAUGUUAUUAUCAACAAUGGUUCCAUACUUCUUUCAUGGAUCCACUUGUUGUCCUUCUCCUUGGAAUCCUUUUCCGUGAGACCCUCCUCCUGGAGAUGAUCCAACGCCAGCGCUAGACAUGAUCACCACUACAACAUAUACAAAACAUGGAAUAAAAAAGAUAUCUAUAUAUAUAAAAGGGAGUUUUCUCCCACCUCAGCCCUCCACAUCAUUAUUCAGCAUGGGGCUUCUUCUGCCACAUCAGCAUCCUCUCUUUUAGAUUCGUUGGUUUUGUGUGUGUUGUUAAUGGUCUUUCACGAAAGCAUAAAAUUGUGAAAUACUGUUUGGGCUCUCACCUUUUUUGGGCUUUAAUUUUGUACGUCCAAUUCCCAUCAACUUUGUCGUCUACCUAUUAACCUUCUUUAUCUUCUAUAGAACGGCCUUUGUAACGUACAGAUGACCUUCAUAUCUUCUUACUAACCUUCUCAAUUAUAGCACCCCUCCCAAAUGUCUCAUUAAUUCUCAUUAAAGUAUCCUUCACCUCAUCCUUACGCUAGCAACUAUAAAUAAGCAUG
rnacentral:lncRNA from 1 species